GACGAACGCUGGCGGCGUGCUUAACACAUGCAAGUCGAGCGGUAAGGCCCUUUCGGGGGUACACGAGCGGCGAACGGGUGAGUAACACGUGGGUGACCUGCCCUCAGCUCUGGGAUAAGCCUGGGAAACCGGGUCUAAUACUGGAUAUGACUCCAUGACGCAUGUUGUGGGGUGGAAAGCCUUGUGCGGCUGAGGAUGGGCCCGCGGCCUAUCAGCUUGUUGGUGGGGUGANGGCCUACCAAGGCGACGACGGGUAGCCGGCCUGAGAGGGCGACCGGUCACACUGGGACUGAGACACGGCCCAGACUCCUACGGGAGGCAGCAGUGGGGAAUCUUGCGCAAUGGGCGAAAGCCUGACGCAGCGACGCCGCGUGAGGGAUGACGGCCUGGUUGUAA
rnacentral:rRNA from 1 species